rnacentral:rRNA from 1 species
ACACCUGGAAACAGAUGCUAAUACCGGAUAACAACACUAGACGCAUGUCUAGAGUUUGAAAGAUGGUUCUGCUAUCACUCUUGGAUGGACCUGCGGUGCAUUAUCUAGUUGGUAAGGUAACGGCUUACCAAGGCAAUGAUGCAUAGCCGAGUUGAGAGACUGAUCGGCCACAUUGGGACUGAGACAGGAUCAAACUUUAAACGGGAGGUCGCCGUAUGGAAUCUUCCACAAUGGACGAAAGUCUGAUGGACCAACGCCGCGUGAUCGAACAAUGGUUUCGGCUCGUAAAGCUCUGUUGGCAGCGAAUAAAGACAGAGGUACUAACUGGACUUUAUUUGACCGCAAUUACUUAGAAAGUCACGGCUAACUACGUGCCACCAGCCGCGGUAAUACGUAGGUGGCAAGCGCUGUCCGGAUUUAUUGCGCGUAAAGAGAGUGCAUGCGGUUCAAUAACUCUGAUGUGAAAGCCUUCGGCUCAACCGGAGAAUU